AGCAUAUCAAUAAGCGGAGGAAAAGAAACCAACAGGGAUUGCCCUAGUAACGGCGAGUGAAGCGGCAACAGCUCAAAUUUGAAAUCUGGCUUCGGCCCGAGUUGUAAUUUGUAGAGGAAACUUUUGGUGAGGCACCUUCUGAGUCCCUUGGAACAGGGCGCCAUAGAGGGUGAGAGCCCCGUAUAGUCGGAUGCCGAUCCAAUGUAAAGUUCCUUCGACGAGUCGAGUAGUUUGGGAAUGCUGCUCAAAAUGGGAGGUAAAUUUCUUCUAAAGCUAAAUAUAGGCCAGAGACCGAUAGCGCACAAGUAGAGUGAUCGAAAGAUGAAAAGCACUUUGAAAAGAGGGUUAAAUAGCACGUGAAAUUGUUGAAAGGGAAGCGUUUGUGACCAGACUUGCGCCGUUCCGAUCAUCCGGUGUUCUCACCGGUGCACUCGGGGCGGCUCAGGCCAGCAUCGGUUUUGGUGGGGGGAUAAAGGUCCAGGGAACGUAGCUCCUCCGGGAGUGUUAUAGCCCUGGGCGUAAUGCCCUCGCUGGGACCGAGGUUCGCGCAUCUGCAAGGAUGCUGGCGUAAUGGUCAUCAACGACCCGUCUUGAAACACGGACCAAGGAGUCAAGGUUUUGCGCGAGUGUUUGGGUGUAAAACCCGCACGCGUAAUGAAAGUGAACGUAGGUGAGAGCUUCGGCGCAUCAUCGACCGAUCCUGAUGUAUUCGGAUGGAUUUGAGUAAGAGCGUUAAGCCUUGGACCCGAAAGAUGGUGAACUAUGCUUGGAUAGGGUGAAGCCAGAGGAAACUCUGGUGGAGGCUCGCAGCGGUUCUGACGUGCAAAUCGAUCGUCAAAUCUGAGCAUGGGGGCGAAAGACUAAUCGAACCAUCUAGUAGCUGGUUACCGC
rnacentral:rRNA from 1 species